rnacentral:lncRNA from 1 species
AAACAGCCUAGAAGGCAGCAUCUUGAUUUACCAUUCUCUGUUGAUUCUGAUCAAGCUCUGAGGCUGCUAUUGAAUCUGAUUAGCCUGUCAGGAAUGUAGCUCACCCACUCUGUAAAUGUAAAUAUUAUCCAUAAAACAUGAAGUGUCCCUUACAAUUAUACACAUAUCAGUUAUGCAAGCUAACAAUCAGCAUCGAUAACUGGCUAGCUAGCUAAGAAGACUACCUAGCUAACUAGCGAGCUAGUUCGCGCACAAGACUAGCCAAGUUAGCUGUGUUGUUGCUUGCUGUGGUCUUGGGGGAGGCACACAGCCUGGGAGACCGGGCUGCCUGUCAGGUAUCGUUCAGGUCUUAAAUGUCUCUUAGCUCAAAGCACAAGAGGAAGGACAUGAGGGAACAGCAGGGGGGUAAAGGCCCCUUCCUUAGUGGGACGUCUUGCUCUUGAGGCUGGGGAGUGGCCCUGUCCUGCCCUACCUCUCAUUGGACCAGCCGUUGUUCCCCUCCUGACCUGGCACUGGGCCAGCAAGGCUGCCAUUACGGGGCCUUAGUUGGUUCUGGGGGGAUAAUUGGCCAGCAGGAGCCGUCUCUGGACCCUCCAGGCUGAGUGACAACUAGGAGAAAGAGAGCCGCGACUCCCUGCGUCCGCUGUGACAGCUGUCUCACCCAGCCACUCAUGCCUCGCCCAUUGUCUGAGGUGUCCUAAUAGCUGCAUAUGUAGAAUAAAGAAAAAACAUGCACGUCUUUUCAUAAUGAGGCAUAUUUUUGGAAGGUUUUGUCGUGAGGUGCAAAUUGCACAUUCUCAUUGAAAGGUUUUGGUGCUUUUGAAAAUCAGUUCAUGCUGACCUCAAAAUUGCCAACAGACUAUUUGCUUCACCAUAAUUUCUUAUCGCCUCAAUGUACACAGUGUACAAAACAUUAAGGACACCUUUUCUUUCCAUGACAUAGACUGACCAGGUGAAAGCCAUGAUCUCUUAUUGAUUUCACUUGUUAAACCCACUUCAAUCAGUGUAGAUGAAGGAGAGACAGGUUAAAGAAGGAUUUUUAAGCCUUGAGACAAUUGAGACAUGGAUUGUGUGUGUGUGCAUUUCAGGGGGUGAAUGGGCAAGAGAAAAGAUUUAUGUGCCUUUGAACAGGGUAUGGUAGUAAGUGCCAGGUGCACCGGUUUGUGUCAAGAACUGCAACGCUGCUGGGUUUUUCACAGUUUCCCGUGUGUAUCAAGAAUGGUCCGCCAUCCAAAGAACAUCCAGCCAACUUGACACAACUGAGGGAAGCUUUGGAGUCAACAUGGGCCAGUAUCCCUGUGCAACUUCAUAUUAGGAUGGUGUCCUUUAUGUUUUGUACACUCAGUGUAUAUUCAAAUUAGACCUCUUCAGAGACUGUAUUCUAUGUCCAUCUCUAGCUGUCCAUUGCCUGUCCGUAAUGUUAAGUGUUGGGAGUUUUGGUAACCAUGGAGCUCCAUAUAGACAGAGAGAAGCUUGGGGGGGGGGGGGGUCCUCCUCCUCCACUCCCAGACUGCUGGCCAGGCAGAGCGGGUGGGUGCGUAGGAGGGCUUUUGUCUUCUCCUCUCCCUGACUCUAGUGGGCUGCCAGCCAGGAUAAUUCAAUCUGUCACCAGCUGUCUGCUAGGCUGUACCAGGGCCAGUCCCUCCCCCUCACUGCCCACCACUCUCUGACUGGGUCAGGUCACACCCCAAAGGCCAAGGGAUGAGCCUCUGUCAGCUGGGAAGCCCUGUUCCAGGUUAUCCACCAUUAUAUGGUGGGAAAUAAGCCUACUUACAAAGUAGCAAACCGUCCCUAACUAUAGUAUCUGUUUACAAGCACGAUGCAUCAUGGAGUAUUGGUGCUAACUAUUUAUUGAAACUACUGUAUGUUGUAAUUUAAGCAGUAUGUUGCCAUUUUUAAUUGCUCCAAAAAACAAAUAUAAUGAGUGUUUAUUUAUCAAGGUUCAGAUCCUUGAUAAAUAUUUUUCUAUAAUCACGCUUGAUACAUUGUGUUAAGUUUUUUUUUUCUUCUCAAAAGUCUGAAAUGUUUCCUUAUAUUUUGCCAAAAAAUUACAAGCUUCAAAUUGGGGUUUCACGGUUAUUUGGGAACAGAAGUAUGUUUUAAUUGAUUUUACACUCAGGAAAAUGUGGAAUUUGUCACAAUCGCCCCAGAAGACAUAAAAUCCCUUUGAGGCAAAAGCCUAAAAAGUGAUGGUGUUGUUAGCUUUCCAGAAUUCCUGAGCUGCUGCUAAGAAAUGACUAGAGUCUGCUUGUAUUUGUGCCAGUCUUUUCUUUCAACUGAGACCUUUGAGAAAUAUCCCCAAGCUGUGAGCUGGACAUCUAAAUGGUAGACAGAAACCACCUUGUCUCUAUUGUCCUAGCAGUAAACAUAGAUUAGAGUAGAACAGAGUAGAACAUCAGUGUAAUUACAAGCUCAGGCUCAAUAACUGGCCAGUAAAAACAAAUAGAAAAGCUAUGGGAACAGUGGUGUCUGGGGUAUAUGAAGGCGAAGGUUAACCAGUAGCCUUGUUCCAUUAGGAGGCUAGAGAAAGGAGCAGCAGCAGGAGAGCAAUGGCCUUUCAGCACCCUGGAGAGCAGGCCAGGGCCACCCCAAUCCAAUGACACAGUCUGUCCUCAAAGGUCAGCCACGGAGGAACAAAGGCUUGGAGGCCGUUGGGAGGGGAUACACAGGAAAAUAAAUGUAAUUGAACAUACG